UCCCCAAUGGAAGAGGGAGAGAGAGAUGAAGAGAGGCAGGGGGCAGCUGUUGGUGGUGUAGACAGAAACAGCAACUUGCACCAGUCGACAGUACACGAACCCUGCAAACAGAUUUCCACUCACUUUUCCACAAAAAUCUCGGAGAAAAACAAUUUUGAAAGCCGUGACAAAUGAACACAAAAUGAUCUGCUUGGAAAAAAAAAAAAAAAAAAAGAUGUCAAACAUCGUCAAGGACUCGCACUGGGACUCUUUGUCUGACUCAUUACACGCCAUACACCCAUCUCCGACUCCCAGUUUUCGGCACAAAAAACCAAUAUCUCUACACAUGUCCACCGCCUCCCAGUCUCAGCAUGCAUAAACCCCCACGUACACAAAUUUUUGUUCCGUAGCUACAGUCAGCUACAGGCUGCAGAUGGGAUUCCUGACCGAAGCUGAGUUACCACCAUGUCUGAAGAUUUUUUUGGGGGUCUGCAGGAUAUUAAUCCAGAGCAGCUUUAGGCAGGAACAGGUCAAGUCUCACAUUCAAACCUCUGCAGAGGGCAUGAGAAAAAGAAUUAAAGUGCUGCGUUGAGCUCAGAAACUAGGAAAAUGUCUGGGUCAGGCCCGAUGGGGUACUUCUAAUUAAUGUUAAUAUUUUUGCCUCAGCAAUAAUAUGUAUGAUUCAUGAAAUGUGAUCAAUGGCAUGAAGCUUUGAUGAGGAGCUCGGGUGCAUUUUACAUUCAAUUUUCAAACACAAAUGUGAACAAAACUCUCUUUGUCACACACACACACACACACACACACACACACUCCUCCUGGCUAUGAGUACCCUUGCCCCGAGUGCUCCCUUGCUGCAGUCUCCAUAGCAGGCAGGGAGACUGUCUGAGUGCUUUAUGUUUGCUGUAACACAGAGUCAUCACUGUCAGAGCCAUUGAUUUGUCAAACAACAUUGUGAUACACUAUGGAUGGAUAAUGGCCCAUCUUGUGUACAGUUGUUGCAUUUUUCUGGACAGCCAAGGAGCAUCUGUUAGGUUUUUUUCCUUCCUCCUCCUCCUCUUAAACCUCCCCCCCCCCCCCCCCCCCCCCCCCCCACUUCUGCACACACACAUCCUUGCAGUUUGAAGACAAUAAAAGAAAAGCAAUGUGUCUUGUUCAGCUACUAAA